GAUGAACGCUGGCGGCGUGCCUAAUACAUGCCAGUCGAGCGAACGGACGAGAAGCUUGCUUCUCUGAUGUUAGCGGCGGACGGGAGAGUAACACGUGGAUAACCUACCUAUAAGACUGGGAUAACUUCGGGAAACCGGAGCUAAUACCGGAUAAUAUUUUGAACCGCAUUGGUCAAAAGUGAAAGACGGUCUUGCUGUCACUUAUAGAUGGAUCCGCGCUGCAUUAGCUAGUUGGUAAGGUAACGGCUUACCAAGGCAACGAUGCAUAGCCGACCUGAGAGGGUGAUCGGCCACCCUGGAACUGAGAAGCGGUCCCGACUCCUACGGGGGGCCGCAGUAGGGAAUCUUCCGCAAUGGGCGAAAGCCUGACGGAGCAACGCCGCGGGAGUGAUGAAGGUCUUCGGAUCGUAAAACUCUGUUAUUAGGGAAGAACAAAUGUGUAAGUAACUGUGCACAUCAUGACGGUACCUAGUGAGAAAGCCACGGCUAACUACGUG
rnacentral:rRNA from 1 species